GAUGAACGCUGGCGGCGUGCCUAAUACAUGCAAGUCGAGCGAACGGACGAGAAGCUUGCUUCUCUGAUGUUAGCGGCGGACGGGUGAGUAACACGUGGAUAACCUACCUAUAAGACUGGGAUAACUUCGGGAAACCGUAGCUAAUACCGGAUAAUAUUUUGAACCGCAUGGUUCAAAAGCGAAAGACGGUCUUGCUGUCACUUAUAGCUGGAUCCGCGCUGCAUUAGCUAGUUGGUAAGGUAACGGCUUACCAAGGCAACGAUGCAUAGCCGACCUGAGAGGGUGAUCGGCCACACUGGAACUGAGACACGGUCCAGACUCCUACGGGAGGCAGCAGUAGGGAAUCUUCCGCAAUGGGCGAAAGCCUGACGGAGCAACGCCGCGUGAGUGAUGAAGGUCUUCGGAUCGUAAAACUCUGUUAUUAGGGAAGAACAUAUGUGUAAGUAACUGUGCACAUCUUGACGGUACCUAAUCAGAAAGCCACGGCUAACUACGUG
rnacentral:rRNA from 1 species